AGUUUCACCACUGAUAUCGCAACUAUCAUUGCUAUUUUUCUGCUGCUGUGUUCUUUGUAUUUUCCUCAUCUCCGAUUAUAAACACCAUGAGCUCCUACGCCCAAGGUGGAAGACGGGUUAUACUCAUGCAGUGGCUAUCCAGAUGUAUCACGGAGUUCCAUGUCAAAGAACAAGUCGAUGGAUGUAUCGCGCCUGUUGUAUAAAUGUAUCAGUGACGUGUAAUAAAACUUACUGUGAAAGCUAAA